GGUGAACACGGAGCUUGCUCUGUGGGAUCAGUGGCGAACGGGUGAGUAACACGUGAGCAACCUGCCCCUGACUCUGGGAUAAGCGCUGGAAACGGCGUCUAAUACUGGAUAUGUGACGUGACCGCAUGGUCUGCGUCUGGAAAGAAUUUCGGUUGGGGAUGGGCUCGCGGCCUAUCAGCUUGUUGGUGAGGUAAUGGCUCACCAAGGCGUCGACGGGUAGCCGGCCUGAGAGGGUGACCGGCCACACUGGGACUGAGACACGGCCCAGACUCCUACGGGAGGCAGCAGUGGGGAAUAUUGCACAAUGGGCGCAAGCCUGAUGCAGCAACGCCGCGUGAGGGACGACGGCCUUCGGGUUGUAAACCUCUUUUAGCAGGGAAGAAGCGAAAGUGACGGUACCUGCAGAAAAAGCGCCGGCUAACUACGUGCCAGCAGCCGCGGUAAUACGUAGGGCGCAAGCGUUAUCCGGAAUUAUUGGGCGUAAAGAGCUCGUAGGCGGUUUGUCGCGUCUGCUGUGAAAUCCGGAGGCUCAACCUCCGGCCUGCAGUGGGUACGGGCAGACUAGAGUGCGGUAGGGGAGAUUGGAAUUCCUGGUGUAGCGGUGGAAUGCGCAGAUAUCAGGAGGAACACCGAUGGCGAAGGCAGAUCUCUGGGCCGUAACUGACGCUGAGGAGCGAAAGGGUGGGGAGCAAACAGGCUUAGAUACCCUGGUAGUCCACCCCGUAAACGUUGGGAACUAGUUGUGGGGUCCAUUCCACGGAUUCCGUGACGCAGCUAACGCAUUAAGUUCCCCGCCUGGGGAGUACGGCCGCAAGGCUAAAACUCAAAGGAAUUGACGGGGACCCGCACAAGCGGCGGAGCAUGCGGAUUAAUUCGAUGCAACGCGAAG
rnacentral:rRNA from 1 species